GCUGGGAUGGCGGAACUGGCAGACGCACAGGACUCAAAAUCCUGCGGUAGCAAUACCAUGCGGGUUCGACUCCCGCUCCCAGCA
rfam:Candidatus Doudnabacteria bacterium RIFCSPHIGHO2_01_52_17 rifcsphigho2_01_sub10_scaffold_1289, whole genome shotgun sequence.